ACCUCUUACCUAGUCGUUCACGCACUUUGUUCGUGGUUGGUCGCGCAGCGUUUUCGUCGUCGCCUGUUUCGCUGUCGUCGCACGUUCGAAUUGAAGGAAAACAAAAAGAAAAAAACAAAACUAAUCACAAUUAUUAUCCGUCGCCUCGACACACGUUUCGUCGUCGUUGUCGUCUUUUUGCCGCAAAAAUCGAACCCCAAGAAUAAAUCCAAAAAGGGUCUGUAAUUUAAAAUAAUAAUUCUCGAGCCCCUCUUGGUCUUCGAAAUAAACAAAACAAAAAUUAUAAUUUGAUUAUCUGAAUAUUAAUUUUAAUAACAAUAAUUUGGAGUAGCCCGUUGUCGUCGUCGUCGUUCGCCUUCGUAAUUUUUUGAUCAAUCAAAGCCAAACCAACAAUAUUGUGCAACAACAUUAACUGGACUGUUGUACAGGGACACAUAAACACAAUCAACGAACUUGGCGAUGCACACGAACACAACAGUUUAAAUUUAAUUAGUGCCAGAUGUAACUACACCGUUAAUUGAAUAUUACCGUCGCGCGUUAAAUCGUCCGUUUUGUGGGCUUUGUGAAUCCGCUAUACCCUUUGCGAAAAACAAACUUGACCAAAACAUCAUCCAAUUAGUAUCCUCUCUGUUGCUCCCAUUUUAUUUUUGUUUAUUUUGGAUUGCCUUCUAUCUCUGUCUAUCGUUGGUCUGCCAUAAUUUUUAAGGAUUUACAGUUGUUUUAUUCUGAAAUUUUAAUUGGUCGCACAUUUUUGUGUCUCUUUUCAAAUAAAAGAUAAAUAUAUUAAUUUAAAGAAAAAAAACCGUAAUUAAGAAAAUUGUUGACAAAGGUUAAAGUGAUAAAAAAUACCCUCCUUCCUUUGAACGUGUUUUAUAAUUUAAUAAAUUUUAGAAAAUAUUUAAAGAUUUUGUGAUUCAAGUGUUUUAUAAAAUAAAAACAAGAAAAUAAGCAAAUUUUUUGACCCAAAGUCAAGAGUGUUAGAAAAAAAAGGAUAAUUAAUUUUUUUGAUCCUAGUUGGAUUAAUAAACAGCCGUCAAAAUUCUUGAUAAAGUGGCCUCAAUAGGCGCCAACACGCUUAAUUUUACGGAUUUAGGGAGCCCCUACGAGGGGCCCCCUAGUACACCGCAAUCGGGUAUGGAUGCACCCGACGCACCACAUACCCCAAAAUAUAUGGACGGGGGUACAACAACAGCCAACAUACCGGGGAAAUCGGCUUUUGUUGAGCUGCAACAACAUGGCUAUGGUGCUAUCCGAAGUGGUUAUCAACACUUUGGACCCCAAGGUGGACAAGAUUCCGGUUUUCCAAGUCCUCGUAGUGCUUUAGGUUAUCCAUUCCCGCCCAUGCAUCAAAAUUCAUAUGCGUCAAGUUAUCACUUAAGCAGUUAUGCGCCACCCUGUUCAAGUCCGCCAAAAGAUGAUAAAUGUGAAGAUACAGGAUUACGGGUGAAUGGAAAAGGGAAAAAGAUGCGAAAACCUAGAACAAUUUAUAGUUCGUUGCAAUUACAACAAUUAAAUCGUCGGUUUCAACGGACGCAAUAUUUAGCACUGCCGGAACGUGCCGAAUUAGCAGCUAGUUUAGGAUUAACGCAAACACAAGUGAAAAUUUGGUUCCAAAAUAGAAGAUCAAAGUACAAAAAAAUGAUGAAAGCCGCACAAGGUCCUGGUGCUGGAAGUGGAAUGCCAUUAAGUAGUGGACAAAAUCCUGGUUCUCAUAGUCCAAAUCAAAAUAUGCAUAGUGGCGGUAAUAACGGCGGUGGAUCGAAUAGCGGGUCGCCAUCUCAUUACCUACCUCCUGGACAUAGCCCGACACCAUCAAGUACGCCUGUGUCCGAAUUAUCACCUGAAUUUCCUCCAACUGGUUUAAGUCCGCCCACGCAAGCACCCUGGGAUCAAAAACCACAUUGGAUAGAUCAUAAACCUCCGCCGCAAAUGGUGCCACAACCACCUCAUCCAACGCACCAGCCAACGUAUCAUACCACACCGCAAAUGGGUGGCUAUUGGUAUCAACCAGAAACAAAUCCGUCGUUACUAACUUUUGAUCCAGCGAAUGGUAAGGCCAAUCAACAACUGGAUCGACUUGUAGAGGUCCCGUUCUGGGGUGGCGUACAAAGAACGUACCACUGACUUAGAUGGCUGUCAUCGUCGUGAAUAUAGUCAGAAGCGGUGGAAUGAGUCGACGACAGCUAUACCAUAUGGACUUGCAGAUUAUUCCUGGUAUGGCCUGCCGUUUAACACCAAAACCGAUCCUAUUUACAUAGAUAAAUCGUAAAUUUACAAAUUAUAAAAAUAAAAAUAAUAAAAAAAAAAGCAAACAAAAAAAACACCACAAUAUAAUAUAAGAAAAAGCAAAAACUGUAAUUAUUAUUAUUAAUAUUGAUUAUUUUCAUAGAAUUAAGUUAAAUUCUAAUGGAAUCAAAAAAAUUUAAUAUUAGUAGUUAAAAAAUUAAAAUAAAAAAAAAACAAACAAUAAUUAAAAAAAAAUAAAACUUACAAACAUUCCUUAAAUACAAUUUUCAAAAUAAUAUUUGUUUUGUACCUAUAUAUACAUAUAUAUUUUUUUCUUUUUUAUUUUGUAAUUUUAAUUAGAGCCUUGUAAUAUAUUGGAAUAAAGUACAUAAUAAUUUUAAUGAACAUUUAUUAUAUAAACAAAAAAAAAUAAUGUAGUUAAUAGAUAAAUCGUAUGUAUAAAAUUGUAAAAUCAAAACGAAAAAUAAAAAAAUAAAAACAAUACAAAAUUUUUAAAAUCCAGGCUUUAAAAUAAAAAUAAAAAUUUA